rnacentral:rRNA from 1 species
ACGCACGCUGGCGGCGUGCUUCACACCUGCAAGUCGAACGGAAAGGCCCUGCUUGCAGGGUACUCGAGUGGCGAACGGGUGAGUAACACGUGGGUGAUCUGCCCUGCACUUCGGGAUAAGCUUGGGAAACUGGGUCUAAUACCGGAUAGGAGCCAUCUUUAGUGUGGUGGUUGGAAAGUUUUUUCGGUGUAGGAUGAGCUCGCGGCCUAUCAGCUUGUUGGUGGGGUAAUGGCCUACCAAGGCGGCGACGGGUAGCCGGCCUGAGAGGGUGUACGGCCACAUUGGGACUGAGAUACGGCCCAGACUCCUACGGGAGGCAGCAGUGGGGAAUAUUGCACAAUGGGCGCAAGCCUGAUGCAGCGACGCCGCGUGGGGGAUGAAGGCCUUCGGGUUGUAAACUCCUUUCGCUAGGGACGAAGCUUUUUUGUGACGGUACCUAGAGAAGAAGCACCGGCUAACUACGUG